UAGAUAGAUAGAUAGAUAGAUAGAUGUAUAUGUAUGUAUAUAUAUACGCAUGUAUGUAUGCAUGCAUGCAUAUGUGUGUAUGUGUUUGUGUAACGUCGAUGUUUCUGGGUGGACAUGCAUAUAUUUGUGUUUCUGCUUUUACUCAUAGCUAACUUUGUCCUCUUUCCCCAUACUCAGGACACAAUGGAAUGUAACAAGAACAAAUAGUACUGACACUCCGUUGGUUACGACGACGCGAGUUCCAGAUGAUCCGAUCAACAGAACAGCCUUCUCGUGAAAUUAAUGUGCAAGUGGUUGAGUACUCCAUAGACACGCUUACCCUUAACAUAGUUCUCAAGGAGACUCAGCGUGAUACAGAAUGUGACAAGGUUGACCCUUUGAAAUAUACGUGCUACUCAUUUUUGCCAGCUGAGUGAACUGGAGCAACACGAAAUAAAGUGUCCUGGUCAAGGUCACAACACGUCACCGGUAAUUGAACUCAUGACUUUACGAUCGCAAACUGAAUAACCUAACCACUAAGCCACGUUCCUUCCACAGAACAAAUAGUAUGUAACCCGUAAAUGUUGAUACGAGUCGAUAAUGACGUUCGUAAUGUUGGUGUGUUUAGCAUUAGUAAAGAUAAAUAAAUAUAUAUAUAUAUAUAUCAGUGGGCGAAGCAAAGAAUUAAAGAUCAUAAAUUCAGAGCUGUCAUUCACGACGUUUGUGUCUUUAUGGGAUCCUUUAUAUAAACAACAAACUAUUGCAGUUUGUUUGGAAGUGUUGCCGAGAUCUCGAGAAUGCGGAAUAUAUUUUCAUUUCCUUUAUUUAUUUAUCUACUUAUUCAUUCAUUCAUUUAUUUUUCACAAGAAUAUAUGACAAGUGGUAUGAGCACUUGUGUAAAUAUAGCCUGGAACUCGGUCAGUUACGACGAGCACCCCAGUUGAUCCGAUCAAAAGAACAGCCUGUUCGUGAAGUUAACCUGCAAGUGGUGGGACACUCAACAGACAAGCGUACACUUAACACAUUACUCGGGGACAUUCAGAGUGACACAGAAUGUGACAAGACUGGCCUCUUUGAAAUACAGAUGCAAAUCAUUUUUGCCAGCUGAGUGGACUGGAGCUACCUGAAAUAAAAUGUCUCGUUCAAAGACUCAAUCCGCUGACGGGAAUGAAAAAUUCACAACUUUAUGAUCGAGAGGUGAAUGCCCAAUCCACACGCCUUAAGUGUGUGAGUGCAAAUAUACAAAAUAUGUACGUUUCAGAGAAUACAUAUAUACAUAUAU